UCAGUGAGAAAAUGAGACAAACUGUCACGUUUCCUGGAAAAGCCACUCCCUCUUGAGUUUCAGGCCUAGUGUCAGCUGCUCACGGCCACCUCAUAGACCUGGAUCCGGCUCUCCGGGCUGCUGCCCGAUGCAACUGCUGGCGAAAGUGUGGGCCAGGGAAUGGGACUGUUUUCCAUCCUGUGGGGCUGGGUGCUCACGGCUACCGUGAGUACAGAUGCCACUGCAAGCCUGGUGGAGCAAAGGCCCCGCUGGGUCCUGGUAGCUCGUGGGCAGGCUGAAACCCUGCACUGCAUCCUGAGAGAUUCCCAGUACCCUUGGAUGAGCUGGUACCAACAGGAUCUCCAGGGGCAACUGCAGGUGCUGGCCACUCUGCGGAGCCCCGGGGACGAGGAGCUCGUAUCCCGUCCUGGAGCAGAUUACCGGGUCACGAGGGUCAACAGCACGGAGCUGAGGCUGCACGUGGCCAAUGUGACCCAGAGCAGAACCCUGUACUGCACCUGCAGUAAAGACACAGUGAUAAACUCCCCUUGGACAAGUGAAUACAAACCAUCCUGGUUUGCCAGCCACAGACCCAACCUCCUCCUCCUCUGA